rnacentral:lncRNA from 1 species
UUUUUUUUUUUUUUUUUUUUUCCCUAGUUUUAGGAAAAGCUAGAAAAAUGGAAAUAACUCUGCAAUGGGGUGGCUCUCACCAUGCUCACAGAAGACAGGCUCUGUAAGUGGCAAUUUGGAGCUGCAUUCUCAGACCCUGACUCCCUCAAGUCCUCCUCUCCCUUCUGGGCUCUCUGCUGGCUCCUGGGUGGCCUGGCUGGCCCAUGGAGAGACUCCUUGUCCCUGCAUAAUGGGGCAGCCGUGACAGGGGAAGGCACAGGGACUAAUGAACAUCGGCUGCCUUUGAUUGAUUGACUCCUUGGUGCUCAAAUCACCCCUCCCUGGCCUCUCACUUGGCUUCUUGUAUGUGCUCAGAGUGGAAGUAAUUGUGGCCAUGGGCCAGCUGCUCUGAGUCAGGCCAGUGCUUCAGAGGAAAACUUUGGAUUUACUGGAACAGUUUAGGCACGGGGAAAUGAAAUCCUUCCUUUCCCCCUCUGCGGAUCCGGCUUGCCUCAAGAGAGACAUCAGAGCCUGUUUGUGAGCACAACUGGAUGGGAGGAGAAGGGUUCUGUGUGGGUGCAGGAAUGAGGGAGUGGGAGAUGGAUGGUGGAUGAAGGAGGGAGAGCAGAUACACGCAGCGAUUGCUCGCUAAUGACAGCGAGCAGGGUGGUUGGGCAGUUAACGAUGCUGUAACCCACAGACCGAAAGCCAUUCAUCUGCUGUAGGAACUGCCAGCUUUAUUGAUCUGAAUCUCUUUAUCAGGGCAUUCAUUACAGCUGCCCAGGUUCUGAGCAGCAAGUCACAGCAUUCCCCUCCUGCCCCUUAGUCAGGACAUGAUGCUGUGGGAACAUUGGCAUCCCUGGGGCACGAUGCUAAAAUUUCUUGUAAUAUCACUGGUUGGGCUCUUGGUUGUGAAAUGGUGAAAAGUCACCGUGGUUCAGGCUGACCCAGGCUGAUCCAUAGGGCAAGGUGGAUGCUCUUUGGUGUCCUCCAACCCAGAGCAGGCCAGACAUCCCUAUUAAUCCUCAGCUUCUUCCCAGAGGCUUGGGCUGACAGCUCUGAGGCCCUGCCAAAUUUGUAAAUGCGUUCCUGAGCUCUGUCAUCUCCAUUUCCUCUCUGGUCCCGCUCUAUCUCCUGCUCCUCAUGUCAACAGUUUGCUUUUCCCUAAAGGGCCCUUCACAGGAGCUCAGCCAGGGUGGGCUGGGAGAGCUCUGGGGCUGCAUGAGCAGUCUGACAGCUUGAAUCGUGUGUACCUGGGAAGAGAAGUUGCAUGAACAUUCCUCCUUUGGGUUCCUCAUUUUCCUGAUGCUUCCCAGUCCAGCUUACACUGCAGUGACAGAGCCAUUAAAAACCAUUGACUAGGGGAACAGAUCCAGGACUGUAUUUUUCAUUCCUCUUUCACAAGGAAAAGAAGCCAAUUUCUGUGUCAUUUAAUGUGUAAAAUUGGUUGCGUUAGAGCAAAUUUACCUAGGUCGCUUUUAGUUUUUUUUUUUAAUUACACCUUUUUUGUCCCCAGGUUCAGCUGGUGGCCUUUCUGAUGGCUUUGAUCCCUUCAUCCCUGGAGGUGGCCUUGGAAAACCUCCCAUGCAGGGCAGUGAAGGCAGCUUUGAGCCUGUCACUUUCCUGGUGUCUGAUGUCAAUGUCCUUCUCAUUCAACUUUCUGCUGGACUGGGACAAUGCCUCUCCAUCCCCGAAUGGCUUCUGUGUGACCAGGAUAGGACAGCUGAUCUCCAGUUGCCUGUGGCACAGCACAAGCUUGGGGCUGCUUCUGUAUUUUACCAGAACUGGUUACCUUUGGUUUAUUUUGCUCUUUUUUUUUUUUUCCCCUACAAUCCUCCUAAAACAUGGGUAUUUGAAUUAAAGUUCAAAUUAAAGAGUUAUUGCAGUUAAUUAUGAAGUUUGGCAGGCAUUGAGCUUUUGGCUCCAAAUCAUUUCUACUAUGGGGAGCUGUGAAAGAAUCAAUCUGCUGCAAUUUCUCUGUGGUGCUCAAUAAAAAAUACAGGCAAUAGAAAACUGAGAAAAAUAUUUGAGGGUUUUGCCAAACAUAUACCACAGCAAAGCUCUCUCUUUCCCUCCCAAUCAGCCUCUCUGCAUCCAGGAUUUGUGCCUUAUGGGCCAGCAAAGGAAGAAAUAUAAAAACCCUAUUAAAUCCACAGCGCAUCCACACUAAUUAUAUCUUUUCAGUUAUUUUUACAUUUUGCUGAUGGGCUGUAUCUGUGUGAGCAGCUUUAUAAGGAUGAAUGCAAAAGGAAACCUGUGUGUGUGUAUGCUCAGAGCAGCUGUGCUGAGAAAGUCAUUAAUGUUGUGGCAGUGGUUUGGGGGGUGGGGGGAACAGCAUCCCCUCAAAAUGCAGCAUCUGCAGCCCUUUUUUUAUAAUUUAGCAACGUGAAUGUAGCAAAUGCAAACUGACCUUUUCCAGGAUGGGUGCAGAGACAUUAGGUCUACACAAUGAGUAUGAUGCCAGCAGUUUUAUCUGUGGCAUUUUGUGGGGAUAGUUUAAUAUUUGGAUGGUCCAACAAUAUUUCUAUUUUCUUGGCAGUUUUGAUGAAUUGCUUUGCUCAAAAAAACAAGUCAAAUGUUGCCUGGGAAGAUGCUUGAGAAAGGAAAAUAUUUGUUUCUUCAGCCAUAUAUUGUGUAUUAAAAUGUUUUUGAAGUCACUAAAGAUGUGAAAAUGAGGUGAACUUUUUUUUUUGUGUGUGUGAGAAACCUUUUAAUCUACCCAGAGCACAAGGAGAUGGAUAUGUGGGUGUGUGUAUAUAUAUAUAUAUAUAUAUGUAUCUAUAGAUAUAUAUAUGUACAGUUACUGCACUCCCUUUUUCUGAACACCAGGUAAACCCCAAGCCCUGCUGUUUGGUGCACAUGCCCAGCUGGAAAAUCAGAUUUAUCUGGAGUUCAGGCCCGUGCUCUUCCUAAAUGCUGACCAACAAACCACCAAGAAACAGAGUUUGCCACCUGCUUCCUCGGCAUGGCAGAAGCAAGCAGGUCUUUGCUAACAGCCAGCAGUGCCUGAACCAUUAGGGGUUGGAGCUGUGAUGUUCCCUGCUGGAGCACAACUGGCAGGAGCUGGACUUCUGUGGUGGAUUUGCUCCCGCUGCUGUUAAUGGUGGGAGUGACCCCAGGGUGUGGUGAUGUGGGAAGCCUCUGAGCCUACUUGGACUUUUCAACAUAAAAGUGUCUUGCAGGUUUUCCAUAAGCCAAAACCACCAGCUGAUGGAUGGCUUUCAAGGCUGCCAAAACCAAGUGUUUAUUUCAGAUGGUGCCUGUUCCAUGCUAUGGCAGCCCGUGCAGCUUUCCUCUUGGGUGCAUUGGGAAGGAAAUUCAGCUCCAUGGUGUCCCUGGUUGGCUUCCCAGCCAUAGACUUGUCAUUCCAAGGCGAUCACACAGCUGGAAAACUGAUGUGGAUUGCAUUGCAAGCUCAGGAUCCCAGCUCUGGAGUUUUUUGGGAUCUCCAAAGGGAGGCUGCAGUACUCGCUGGUUUAGGGAACUCAUUGUUCCCAUCCAUCAGCAUGGUUAUUGCCUUGACAUUGAAAUCCCUCCUGGCUGCCAUGUCCUUCAGCCAUGGCAGGUGAGGAUGCGUGCAUGGCAGGCACACAUCAAACACUGACACACAGGGAAGGGGUGAAUCACCAUCCUUGGAGGGAUUUUUAAAAACUUGAAUAUAUGGCACCUGGGGACAUAGUUUAGUGGUGGGCUUGGCAGUGCCAAAUUAACGUAUGGAUUCUGAUCUUAGAGGUCUUUUCCAACCCAAAUGAUUCUAGGACUCUCAGACCCUGUGGUGUGUGCCUUGCUUUGCUUUGUAAUUCAACAAGAAACUUGUGAUUUUCCUGUCCCACUGGAAAGAACUUGCACUUUCCCACUGGAAAAAAAAAGCUGCUUAGUUGCAGCAGCUGCUAAUGGAGAAACAGUGGAAAUAAUUCUCCUCAGCAGCUGAAGCUGCUGCGAAUUUGGUGUCACUAGACUGGUCUGCACCAGUAGGAUCCUCCUGAGCAGAUGUAGAGAUGCAGCAUGUCCUGCAGACCAGUUCCCUCCUGCAGCUUUCUGAGGGGAAACAGCACUGGAGCCCAGUUAUUACUGAUCUGCUGAUGUGUAAUUUGUCUCUUUAAAAAGGUUUUCAUUGUGUUAAUUCCAGGGGGAGAGUGAAGACCCUUGCUGCUUAAAACCAAAUGAAAUCUUGUCCGUUAUGAACUCCUUCUGCACCCUCUGCUUAACUGCAAUCCUUAUCACCCCUCUAAACACAGCCUGUUGCAGGAUUUUGGGGAAAUUAAAGGAGGUGGAAAGCUUAGAGAAGCAAAUAAUCCACUGUAACAGUGGUUGCUUGAUUGCCAGAUCUUGUGGACUUAUGGGGCUGAAGCUGAGGAUCAACAAAGAAACCUGCACCAUGGCAGAAAAACACAACUGGUUGUUUCCAGUUCCAUUCCAUGUUGUCACCAUCAGCCCUCAGAGGGGAAAUGAUUUUCACCCUGCUGACCGGUGACAUGUUUAAGGAUGAAAUACUUUGAUGCUUUUACCAGUUUUCCCUAACUAUAGGCAGGUGAAGAAAUCUAUGGAUUUCCCAACUGACUGCAAAUUUUGCCAGUUUAAAAAUUCACACACAUCUCUGUCAUUGCAACCUGCAUUAUGUCUCACUUUCAUUACAUAUUCUUUUAUUGAAUUGCCUUGGAAUAUAUCAAUAGCCUCUAUAAACUGCCACAGGAAAGCAAGUAAUAACUUAGUGCAGAGGUUUGGGGGGAAUCUCCUUUUAUUUUCACAUUAAUGAGUGUGGAUCCAGAACGUCUGGCUUCACGUCACCUCAACAGCUGCCUCCUGCCUGCUCCCAUGAGAAGUCUGUGAAUCACCAGGCUAAGUCUUAUUUUACUGAGGGCAACAACUGAGUCUAUCUCAGCAUUUUAAAGAGCAAAUUAUUUUUAUGUAUGUAUUUACAGGUACGUUACCAGCUCCCCAUUCAAACCUUGUUUAAACACAUGCUACAAAGGAAUUCUUGCUCAGUGCAAAAUUUGCUUCUGUGACUGGCUUGCAAAGGUGGGCACCUAAUUUCAUGCUGAAGACCAAGGUGUGUGCCCAGUUUCAUAGUGAAAGCUGUUAGCAGUGAGCUUGGUCUGGCCACUGCCCAUCCCUCUUCACUGUUGCCAGCGCCAGUGCUCUGUGGGCCAUGCUGGGAUGCAGCACAGGCUGCAAACACAUGGUGUGGCACAGGAUGGCUCAUGCUUAAAGGCUUUCCUCUCUUCUCUGACACAAAUAUGAACACCUAGAAACACCCACAGUGCCCAGUGUCCUGCAGGAAGGUGACCCAUUCCCCUCUGUGUCCAUGUGCAGCACCCUGGUCCAGUGGUGCCUGAAAUCCCAGCUCCUAAUGGGAGCUGCUACCAGCUAAUACUGAGCUAAUCCACAGCACCUUGUGAGGCUGGGCAUGUGUUUGGAGUUGUGACAGGUGAGUAUUUGGGAACCUGGCCCUCUGAGCACUAAGAUUUGAUGUCUGUUGCAGAUGGCCUUGGCUGCCCUGCUGCCAGGACAGCCCUGUCCUUCGGGACUGCCUGCCUGGGAAAAGUCCUCACAUCCUGCACUUCCCACCAUAUAUUCACUCACAUGGAAAUGUGAAAUAAAUCCCCCCUCAGCAGGCCUGCCUGCUGGAGAAGGGUUUAUUUCAUCCUUACAUGGUGUCUCUGGGUGUUAAGGAGUUUUACAAGGGAGAGCUGGGGCCAGAAGCUGGGAUAGCUCCUGCUGCUGUUCUCACCAGCACCCCCAUUUGCACAUAAAGAUGCUUCUGGGUCAUCGCUCCUGCCCUGUGCCUGGGGAGAGUUUAACUUUCUGGAUGAAGACUUGGGGAUGGGGACAGGCCUUUCAAGAUGCAAGCCUUCAGUGCUCUAGCUCUGCACAAUGUCCCCAAGCCCUGUGAUGGCCAUUGUCCCUGCCCCAGCAGCUCCUGGAGUUCCACUGGAGAUGCUUAGAAGCUGUAAAUGAGAAAUUAGCUGCAAUUAUGGAACAUCACAGGGCAUAAAUACCCUC